rnacentral:rRNA from 1 species
UGAGGAAUUUUGCGCAAUGGGAGCAAUCCUGACGCAGCAACGCCGCGUGGAGGAUGAAGGGCUUUCAGCUUGUAAACUCCUGUAAAGAAGGAAAAAAUUCCCAUUAGAUGGGAAAUGAUGGUACUUCUAAAGUAAGCCCCGGCUAACUACGUGCCAGCAGCCGCGGUAAUACGUAGGGGGCAAGCGUUGUCCGGAUUUACUGGGUGUAAAGGGUGCUCAGGCGGAUUUGUAAGUCAGAGGUGAAAUCUCACAGCUUAACUGUGAAACUGCCUUUGAUACUGCAAGUCUAGAGUAUGGAAGAGAGUGAUGGAAUGUCUGGUGUAGCAGUGAAAUGCGUAGAUAUCAGAUAGAACACCAAUGGCGAAGGCAGUCACUUGGUCCAUUACUGACGCUAAAGCACGAAAGCGUGGGUAGCAAACA